GACGAACGCUGGCGGCGUGCUUAACACAUGCAAGUCGAACGGAAAGGCCCUGCUUUUGUGGGGUGCUCGAGUGGCGAACGGGUGAGUAACACGUGAGUAACCUGCCCUUGACUUUGGGAUAACUUCAGGAAACUGGGGCUAAUACCGGAUAGGAGCUCCUGCUGCAUGGUGGGGGUUGGAAAGUUUCGGCGGUUGGGGAUGGACUCGCGGCUUAUCAGCUUGUUGGUGGGGUAGUGGCUUACCAAGGCUUUGACUGGUAGCCGGCCUGGGAGGGUGAACGGCCACAUUGGGACUGCGGUACGGCCCAGACUCCUACGUUAGGCAGCAGUGGGGAAUAUUGCACAAUGGGCGGAAGCCUGAUGCAGCAGCGCCGCGUGCGGGAUGACGGCCUUCGGGUUGUAAACCGCUUUCGCCUGUGACGAAGCGGGAGUGACGGUAAUGGGUAAAGAAGCACCGGCUAACUACGUG
rnacentral:rRNA from 1 species